rnacentral:rRNA from 1 species
GACGAACGCUGGCGGCGUGCUUAACACAUGCAAGUCGAACGGCAAGGCCCUGCUUUUGUGGGGUGCUCGAGUGGCGAACGGGUGAGUAACACGUGAGUAACCUGCCCUUGACUUUGGGAUAACUUCAGGAAACUGGGGCUAAUACCGGAUAGGAGCUCCUGCUGCAUGGUGGGGGUUGGAAAGUUUCGGCGGUUGGGGAUGGACUCGCGGCUUAUCAGCUUGUUGGUGGGGUAGUGGCUUACCAAGGCUGUGACGGGUAGCCGGCCUGAGAGGGUGACCGGCCACAUUGGGACUGAGAGACGGCCCAGACUCCUACGGGAGGCAGCAGUGGGGAAUAUUGCACAAUGGGCGGAAGCCUGAUGCAGCAACGCCGCGUGCGGGAUGACGGCCUUCGGGUUGUAAACCGCUUUCGCCUGUGACGAAGCGUGAGUGACGGUAAUGGGUAAAGAAGCACCGGCUAACUACGUG